rnacentral:rRNA from 1 species
UACUUAGUGGCAGACGGGUGAGUAACAUGUAGGUAUCUGCCCUUUGGCCUGGAAUAACACGAGGAAACUUGUGCUAAUACCGGAUAAGUCUUUACGGAGAAAGCUUUAUGCACCAUUGGAUGAGCCUGCACUUGAUUAGUUUGUUGGUGGGGUAAUGGCCUACCAAGACUGUGAUCAAUAGCUGAUUUGAGAGGAUGAUCAGCCACAUUGGGACUGAGACACGGCCCAAACUCCUACGGGAGGCAGCAGUGGGGAAUCUUGCACAAUGGAGGAAACUCUGAUGCAGCGAUGCCGCGUGAGUGAAGAAGGCCCUUGGGUUGUAAAGCUCUUUCGUCGGGGAAGAAAAUGACUGUACCCGAAUAAGAAGGUCCGGCUAA